UACGUAGGUGGCAAGCGUUGUCCGGAAUUAUUGGGCGUAAAGCGCGCGCAGGCGGUCCUUUAAGUCUGAUGUGAAAGCCCUCGGCUCAACCGAGGAGGGUCAUUGGAAACUGGAGGACUUGAGUGCAGAAGAGGAAAGUGGAAUUCCAAGUGUAGCGGUGAAAUGCGUAGAGAUUUGGAGGAACACCAGUGGCGAAGGCGACUUUCUGGCCUGUAACUGACGCUGAGGCGCGAAAGCGUGGGGAGCAAACAGG
rnacentral:rRNA from 1 species